rnacentral:rRNA from 1 species
UACGAAGGGGGCUAGCGUUGUUCGGAAUUACUGGGCGUAAAGCGCACGUAGGCGGAUAUUUAAGUCGGGGGUGAAAUCCCGGGGCUCAACCCCGGAACUGCCUUCGAUACUGGGUAUCUUGAGUUCGGAAGAGGUGAGUGGAAUUGCGAGUGUAGAGGUGAAAUUCGUAGAUAUUCGCAGGAACACCAGUGGCGAAGGCGGCUCACUGGUCCGAUACUGACGCUGAGGUGCGAAAGCGUGGGGAGCGAACAGG